rnacentral:rRNA from 1 species
GGAAUAUUCCACAAUGGGCGAAAGCCUGAUGGAGCGACGCCGCGUGAGUGAAGAAGGCCUUCGGGUUGUAAAGCUCUGUUAUAGGGGACGAAGGAAGUGACGGUACCCUAUAAGGAAGCCCCGGCUAACUACGUGCCAGCAGCCGCGGUAAUACGUAGGGGGCGAGCGUUGUCCGGAAUGACUGGGCGUAAAGGGCGUGUAGGCGGCCUGAUAAGUCUGGAGUGAAAGUCCUGCUUUUAAGGUGGGAAUUGCUUUGGAUACUGUCGGGCUUGAGUGCGGAAGAGGUAAGUGGAAUGCCCAGUGUAGCGGUGAAAUGCGUAGAGAUUGGGAGGAACACCGGUGGCGAAGGCGACUUACUGGGACGUAACUGACGCUGAGGCGCGAAAGCGUGGGGAGCGAACA